CCCGCCAAGCCUCUCAACGAUGCUCAAAUGUUUUGCGGG
rnacentral:sRNA from 1 species